AACGAACGCUGGCGGCAUGCCUAACACAUGCAAGUCGAACGAGACCUUCGGGUCUAGUGGCGCACGGGUUCGUAACGCGUUGGAACCUGCCCUUAGGUUCGGAAUAACUCCCCGAAAGGGGUGCUAAUACCGGAUAAUGUCUUCUGACCAAAGAUUUAUCGCCUUUGGAUGGGCCCGCGUUGGAUUAGCUAGUUGGUAGGGUAAAAGCCUACCAAGGCGACGAUCCAUAGCUGGUCUGAGAGGAUGAUCAGACACACUGGGACUGAGACACGGCCCAGAAUACUACGGGAGGGAGCAGUGGGGAAUAUAGGAAAAGGGGGGAAAGCAUGAUAAAGCAAUGACGGGUGAGUGAUGAAGGCCUUAGGGUUGUAAAGCUCUUUUACCAGGGAUGAUAAUGACAGCACCGGGAGAAUAAGCACCGGCUAACUCCGUG
rnacentral:rRNA from 1 species